rnacentral:lncRNA from 1 species
AACCCUUACCCUAACCCUUACCCUAACCCUUACCCUAACCCUUACCCUAGCUACCACUGUUGCAGAGUCACAGAAUGGUUUGGGUUGGAAGGGACCUCAAAGAUGAGCUCCCCUGCCAGGGGCAGGAACACCUCCCACCCGACCAGGAUCCUCAAAGCCUCAUCCAGCCUGGCCUUAAACAUUUUGAGGGUUGGAGCAUUCACAGCUUCUGGGAAACCUGUUCCAGUGCCUCUAAGUAAAGAACUUCUUCCUGAUGUGUAAUCUAAGCUGGCUCUCUUUUGGUUUAAAGCUAUUCCCCCUUGUCCUAUCACUAUUCCCCCUGGGGAGUUCCUCCCCACCUUUCCUGUAGGCCCCUGUUAGGUACUGAGGGGCUGCUAUAAGGUAUCCCCACAGCUUUCUCUUCCCCAGGCUGAACAACCUUAACUCCCUAAUCCUGUCAGUGUAGGAGUGAGGCUCCAGCCCCUUGGUCAUCUUUUUGGCCCUUCUCUGGACUCAUUCUAGUAGGCCCAUGUCUUUCUUGUGCUGGGGGCCCCAGAGCUGACCACAGUGCUCCAGGUAGGGUCUCAAAAGCAGUAAGAUCUUGAAAUCAUUUUCUCCAGGCAGUAAGCAGUUUAAGUUUGCUCACACAGCAGCAGUACUGCUCACCACAGCUGAAAUAUACUCUCAAUCCUGGGUGCUUGUAAGAGGCAUGAAUGCCUUACGCCAAAUUCUAAACCAAGUGCAGGUGUGAGAUUGUGAUGCCUGUCCUGGCUUGUGCAGGUAGAAAGGGAAAGCCCAUUUCCCCUGUCCCCACCCUGAGGAAAAGCCUCUUCCCCUCCAGCCCCAAGCAGAAGGGAAAGACUGUUCCCCUCUGGCCCCAGCCAUGAGGAGAACUCCCAACCCCAAGGAAAAGCCCCUUCUCCUCCGGCCCCAACCCUGAGGAAAAGCCCCUUCUUCACGACUCUGAGGAAGAGGUCCUUACCCUCUGAGGCGCGGGGGCCCAGUGGGAGUCGCUGCCUGGGGUCAGCCUCCAGGUCCGGGGUCCUGGUGGGAGUCGCCACCUAGGGUCCACCGUGGACCCUGGGCCCUGGCGGGUUUCAUUUCCCGAGGGCCGCCACGGGGUUCGGGGGCCCGGCAGGAGUCAGAUUCCUGGGUCCAAUGCAGGGCCUGGUGGGAAUCACCACCUGGAGUUGGACACGGGGCCCAGGGGUCCAGCAGGUAUCACCGCCCCAGGUCUGCCACUCGUCACGGGGGCCCGUCGGGAGUCGCAGGACAUUAGUGGGUUUACGUGGCAAGGUUUUUGUAGCAGAGAGAUACUCUGUGAGAAGAAUAUAGAAGCUGCCCCACGUCAGGUCUGGGAAGGAAGCUUCGAAUCCAUGUAUGUAAUUUCACUGUAAACAGACAAGUUGAAGGAAGUACUCAAACUCCUCAACAUUAAACAGCUAUGGAACCCAGGAACACUACUUAACUGCUGGCUUCUGAAUUUGAGUCACUUCCAAACUGCUUCACAGUGAAGUCGUACCACCAGAUUUUUAUUGUACUGAGAAGGCACCACCAACGUAGCUAGCUCAUAGGGUCUCCAGAAGUAUUUCACAGAGAUGGUAGAAAACAUGAAGAAAAAGCAGCGUACUGGGGAACACUGAGUCCAUUUCACCACAAGAAAAAACACUCUACAUAACACAAGCCUCAGACUCCCCUUUGAUAGACCACUACCACCACCACCUCCUCCUCAUGCUGCCUAUGUAGCAAAAGUCAAAAUGAUCCACAUCUGUCAGAUUUCACUUAACAAGGGUGGAGCCAAGAGACAUUGUGGAAUAGGCUUGUAUACCUGGCUUCAGUGUUUUAAGGGCUAUUGCUCCUUAUCACUAAUAGAAAUAACUUGACAAGGGGCUUAGUGGUUAGAGUUGACCUAAUGAAUUAAUUGCAAAAGGUGCACAAGGGUCAUAUUUCUGUUAGUCAUUCUGUGAGGAAAAUUAGUACAGAGCCUGAUAAAUAAAUAAAUGAAUAAAAGAAAAAAGAAAAUGACC